rnacentral:rRNA from 1 species
AACGAACGCUGGCGGCAGGCUUAACACAUGCAAGUCGAGCGCCCCGCAAGGGGAGCGGCAGACGGGUGAGUAACGCGUGGGAAUCUACCCAUCUCUACGGAAUAACGCAUGGAAACGUGUGCUAAUACCGUAUACGUCCUUCGGGAGAAAGAUUUAUCGGAGAUGGAUGAGCCCGCGUUGGAUUAGCUAGUUGGUGGGGUAAAGGCCUACCAAGGCGACGAUCCUUAGCUGGUCUGAGAGGAUGAUCAGCCACACUGGGACUGAGACACGGCCCAGACUCCUACGGGAGGCAGCAGUGGGGAAUAUUGGACAAUGGGCGCAAGCCUGAUCCAGCCACGCCGCGUGAGUGAUGAAGGCCCUAGGGUUGUAAAGCUCUUUCACCGGUGAAGAUAAUGACGGUAACCGGAGAAGAAGCCCCGGCUAACUUCGUGCCAGCCGCCGCCGUAAUAC